UAAGAAUAAUUUUUAUUAAUUUUAAAAUGACAUUUUAAUGUUAUUAAUUAACUAAUUCUUA
rnacentral:tRNA from 1 species